UAAAAUAUUCAAGUAUAAUUAAUUUAUACUAUUACUUAAUAAUAUAUAAAAAAUAAAUAAAAUUUUAU
rnacentral:tRNA from 1 species